AUAUCAAUAAGCGGAGGAAAAGAAACCAACAGGGAUUACCUCAGUAACGGCGAGUGAAGCGGUAACAGCUCAAAUUUGAAAUCUGGGUCUUUUAGACUCCGAGUUGUAAUUUGUAGAAGAUGCUUCGGGUGUGGCUCCGGUCUAAGUUCCUUGGAACAGGACGUCAUAGAGGGUGAGAAUCCCGUAUGUGAUCGGUCGCCUAUGCCCAUGUGAAGCUCUUUCGACGAGUCGAGUUGUUUGGGAAUGCAGCUCAAAAAUGGGUGGUAAAUUUCAUCUAAAGCUAAAUAUUGGCCAGAGACCGAUAGCGCACAAGUAGAGUGAUCGAAAGAUGAAAAGCACUUUGGAAAGAGAGUUAAACAGUAC
rnacentral:rRNA from 1 species